CUUCCCAACUUAGGAAAUGAUCAAACCAGGAUCCACAGACAACUGAAGAGAAAGCCCAUGUAAAAGAGAUUGAUAUAAACUUUUUUCAUAAAUAACUCUGAUGUUAGGUACAUCACACAUUUAGGGGAAUGAUCCCUUCGUAACAUGUACCCUGUAUUCCUCUAAACCAGAUUCAAUUCUUUUUGUGAAGUGACUCAAACUUACAGUCCAAAGAGGUUACCAUUCUUUUUGGAAUUUGUUUUUGUAUCAGAGAUGAAGAUACUGCUCUGAGAUAUGAUUCUGUAGUGGAAACAGCCUCCAAAUCUAAGGAAAGGCCAGUAAUGAAGGAAAAUGUACUGGCCUAACAAGGUCUGAGUAUCUCAGCAAAUGUCUGCAAGUCUGUGGUCACAGCUAGAAAUACGAUCACUUCACAAGGAAACGAAAUAAGGAGUCUGUUAAAUGGAGCACACUGUUAGCUCUGUUUUGUCCCAGCAGAGGGAAAUCUCUAUUAUUUUUAAAAGUCAAAGAAGAAUUAUGUAAAGAAGUUAUGUACAUACAUCGUUCAGCCAACAACAUAGAUAACGUGGUUUUAUAGUUGACUCAUAGUACUUGUUUUGUCUGAAUGUGCCUUUUGGUGAACCAUGAGAGGAGAGAUAAAUUUCAGCUUUCUUUUAAAAAACAAAAUUCUGACCUUUCUGGUUGAAAGACAAGACAGACUGCAUUGAAAGCUGAGUUGAAAGACUCUGUAGGGUGAUGAGAAGAGGCUUGGACAGAGCAAUCACAGCAAGCAUUCUCUAGAACUGUGACUUUGCUUUAUAACUGCUACCAGAAAAGUAUAAUACUGUAAUGGGCAUCAUUUUGGUUGCAAACCUUGAGAAGUAAUUAAGUGUUUUGCUGAAUGCUUCAGUCUGUAGCCGUCUCCUGCACACAAAUCACUGUUUAACUGCAAGGCAGGCGUGCUCCACAGUGUUCAAUUAAAUCCUGCUCUCCUGGUCAGCCACACUGGGGAUGCGGCCAACGAUAGCAUAGAAUAGCCCUGUUGGCUUCAGGGGUACAGCAUACAGCCUCGGAGGCUCCAGGGGCAGCAUCACAGUGGUCUCUGUGUGUCCUCACCCUUGUUCUGAACUGAGUUUAACUCUGCAAGAGUACUACAGGAUCUGAAUCAAGCAUCAUAACCUUCAUAUGUUUCUAUUAGGAGCAAAAAUGACAAACUCUCUCUCUCAGUAUCACCUCUUACAUAAAUUUCUGUUGUAACCAACGUAGUUAUCUUUUUAUGCCAUGCAUAAGCACACAGAAAAUAGAAGGUGGCCACUAAUUUACAGAUAAAUGGGAGAUGCUUUUAAAAUUUAAUAUAACCCUCUUUUCUUUUUUUCACUAUCGUAUGCUCGGAGUUGAUACUAAACAAGCCAAGAUCGUGCACAUCACUGAAGCACGUGCCUUAGGGCUGCUCCGAACUAGGAACACAAGAUCUGAGCCAAAGCCCACACAAGCCAGUAAACGAAUCGACUUCUGGAGCUUUGAUGGUCUUCACAAACCUUCAGUAGGAGGGGCAGAGUAUCUUCACCCCCAGAACAGCCUGUUUGGUCAUGGAAGCUGACUACCAAAUGUACCUUCCAUGACCCAUGGUAAGAAGUUAAUGAUUAGAGAUGCCUUUCCAAGAAACACCUGAGCAGUCAAGAUUACUCACAAGGAUAUUGCCAGCCUGCCUGUCAAAGAAAAGUGAAGUCAGCAAGCCCAGAUCUUCUCACCUGUGUUCCCUAUAAAGUUGCCCUGCAACAGCUACUGUUUGCAAAAUCUGCCCUCUGCCAUCAGUAAAUUGCAAAUUCCAGUUACGCAGGGCCAGGUGGGGGUGAAAAUAAUGGAAAAUAUGCUCUGGAGAGUUGUCCCCUAUCACUAGGAAUGAGAGGAGGCAGGGGAGUCUUUCCAGGAGGUAAUCAAGUGAGUCAGUACAAGGGUACAAGAAACACAAAGAUACUGAUGCUCAGGUGGGAGUUGGGGGAUCUCUCAGUGCUGAGGAACUCAACAUUUUUCUCUUGCUCUUAACCUGAAGACCUAAGCCAUCGCUUCUUAUUUUAGGGCCUAAAUCCUUAAAAAUCUAUCCUCUGUCGACAGAUUUCACUUUGGUUACUUCAGGUAUACAAAGUAUGUUCAGAGGCAUAAUGAUUCCCAUUUCUCUGUUAUUCUGAACAACUCUAUUAGUCUGAAUACAGAGAUCUCUUAAGUUUUAUUUUGCUGUCGUCAUUCCAGCCAUAUGCAUUUAGCGCAAGCUAAUAAA